AAGGGUCGCAUUUAUACGAAAUGGUCUUGCCACGCGCCAUCCAUUGAUUUUUAAAUCUUUUUUAAUCAAUGGGUAGCACGUGGCAAGACUAUUUUGCAUAAACAAACCCU
ensembl:miRNA mir-5553 ncRNA